rnacentral:rRNA from 1 species
GGCCUUUUGUUUUAGAUUUAAGGUCAGGCCUGCCCAAUGAUGAAUUGAAUGGCUGCAGUAUUUUGACUGUACAAAGGUAGCAUAAUCAUUAGUUUCUUAAUUAGAAGCUAGUAUGAAUGGUUAAAUGAGAAAAAGACUGUCUUUAAUUAAAUUUUUAUAGAAUUUUAUUUUUAAGUUAAAAAGCUUAAAUAUAAUUAAAAGACGAGAAGACCCUAUAGAGUUUAAUAGUUUCAAUAAUAUUAACUUUAGGAAUUUUAAUUUAAUAUUUGAGAGAUUAUUUAGUUGGGGUGACUAGAAAAUUUAGUUAACUUUUGUUUUAUUAUUACAUUGAUUUAUGAUUAAUUGAUCCAUUAUUAGUGAUUAUAAGAUUAAAUUACCUUAGGGAUAACAGCGUAAUUUUUCUAGUGAGUUCUUAUCAAUAGAAAAGUUUGCGACCUCGAUGUUGGAUUAAAAUUAACGUUUGGUGCAGUAGCUGAAUUGUUAGGUCUGUUCGACCUUUA